rnacentral:rRNA from 1 species
AUUGAACGCUGGCGGCAGGCCUAACACAUGCAAGUCGAGCGGUAGAGAGGUGCUUGCACCUCUUGAGAGCGGCGGACGGGUGAGUAAUGCCUAGGAAUCUGCCUGGUAGUGGGGGAUAACGUUCGGAAACGGACGCUAAUACCGCAUACGUCCUACGGGAGAAAGCAGGGGACCUUCGGGCCUUGCGCUAUCAGAUGAGCCUAGGUCGGAUUAGCUAGUUGGUGAGGUAAUGGCUCACCAAGGCGACGAUCCGUAACUGGUCUGAGAGGAUGAUCAGUCACAAUGGGACGGAGACACGGUGCAGACUCCGACGGGAGGCAGCAGUGGGGAAUAUUGGACAAUGGGCGAAAGCCUGAUCCAGCCAUGCCGCGUGUGUGAAGAAGGUCUUCGGAUUGUAAAGCACUUUAAGUUGGGAGGAAGGGUACUUACCUAAUACGUGAGUAUUUUGACGUUACCGACAGAAUAAGCACCGGCUAACUCUGUGCCAGCAGCCGCCGUAACAC